rnacentral:rRNA from 1 species
UACGAAGGGGGCUAGCGUUGUUCGGAAUCACUGGGCGUAAAGCGCACGCAGGCGGAUCGAUAAGUCGGGGGUGAAAGCCCGGGGCUCAACCUCGGAAUUGCCUUCGAUACUGUCGGUCUUGAGUCCGGGAGAGGUGAGUUGAAUUCCUAGUGUAGAGGUGAAAUUCGUAGAUAUUAGGAAGAACACCAGUGGCGAAGGCGGCUCACUGGCCCGGUCCUGACGCUCAGGUGCGAAAGCGUGGGGAGCAAACAGG